rnacentral:rRNA from 1 species
CAGCCGCCGCGGGAAUACGAAGGGGGCUAGCGUUGUUCGGAAUUACUGGGCGUAAAGCGCACGUAGGCGGAUAUUUAAGUCAGGGGUGAAAUCCCAGAGCUCAACCCCGGAACUGCCUUUGAAACUAGGUGACUAGAAUCUUGGAGAGGUCAGUGGAAUUCCGAGUGUAGAGGUGAAAUUCGUAGAUAUUCGGAAGAACACCAGUGGCGAAGGCGACUGACUGGACAAGUAUUGACGCUGAGGUGCGAAAGCGUGGGGAGCAAACAGGAUUAGAUACCCCUGUAGUCCCUGUCUCUUAUAU